GUGCUGCAUGGCUGUCGUCAGCUCGUGUUGUGAAAUGUUGGGUUAAGUCCCGCAACGAGCGCAACCCUUAUCCUUGUUUGCCAGCACAUAAUGGUGGGAACUCCAGGGAGACUGCCGGUGAUAAACCGGAGGAAGGUGGGGACGACGUCAAGUCAUCAUGGCCCUUACGAGUAGGGCUACACACGUGCUACAAUGGCGUAUACAGAGGGCUGCCAACCAGCGAUGGUGAGCGAAUCCCAGAAAGUACGUCGUAGUCCGGAUUGGAGUCUGCAACUCGACUCCAUGAAGUCGGAAUCGCUAGUAAUCGUGAAUCAGAAUGUCACGGUGAAUACGUUCCCGGGCCUUGUACACACCGCCCGUCACACCAUGGGAGUGGGCUGCACCAGAAGUAGAUAGCUUAACCUUCGGGAGGGCGUUUACCACGGUGUGGUUCAUGACUGGGGUGAAGUCGUAACAAGGUAGCCCUAGGGGAACCUGGGGCUGGAUCACCUCCUUA
rnacentral:ncRNA from 1 species